rnacentral:rRNA from 2 species
AGAGUUUGAUCCUGGCUCAGGACGAACGCUGGCGGCGUGCUUAACACAUGCAAGUCGAACGGAAAGGUCUCUUCGGAGAUACUCGAGUGGCGAACGGGUGAGUAACACGUGGGUGAUCUGCCCUGCACUUCGGGAUAAGCCUGGGAAACUGGGUCUAAUACCGGAUAGGACCACGGGAUGCAUGUCUUGUGGUGGAAAGCGCUUUAGCGGUGUGGGAUGAGCCCGCGGCCUAUCAGCUUGUUGGUGGGGUGACGGCCUACCAAGGCGACGACGGGUAGCCGGCCUGAGAGGGUGUCCGGCCACACUGGGACUGAGAUACGGCCCAGACUCCUACGGGAGGCAGCAGUGGGGAAUAUUGCACAAUGGGCGCAAGCCUGAUGCAGCGACGCCGCGUGGGGGAUGACGGCCUUCGGGUUGUAAACCUCUUUCACCAUCGACGAAGGUCCGGGUUCUCUCGGAUUGACGGUAGGUGGAGAAGAAGCACCGGCCAACUACGUGCCAGCAGCCGCGGUAAUACGUAGGGUGCGAGCGUUGUCCGGAAUUACUGGGCGUAAAGAGCUCGUAGGUGGUUUGUCGCGUUGUUCGUGAAAUCUCACGGCUUAACUGUGAGCGUGCGGGCGAUACGGGCAGACUAGAGUACUGCAGGGGAGACUGGAAUUCCUGGUGUAGCGGUGGAAUGCGCAGAUAUCAGGAGGAACACCGGUGGCGAAGGCGGGUCUCUGGGCAGUAACUGACGCUGAGGAGCGAAAGCGUGGGGAGCGAACAGGAUUAGAUACCCUGGUAGUCCACGCCGUAAACGGUGGGUACUAGGUGUGGGUUUCCUUCCUUGGGAUCCGUGCCGUAGCUAACGCAUUAAGUACCCCGCCUGGGGAGUACGGCCGCAAGGCUAAAACUCAAAGGAAUUGACGGGGGCCCGCACAAGCGGCGGAGCAUGUGGAUUAAUUCGAUGCAACGCGAAGAACCUUACCUGGGUUUGACAUGCACAGGACGCGUCUAGAGAUAGGCGUUCCCUUGUGGCCUGUGUGCA